GAUGAACGCUGGCGGCGUGCCUAAUACAUGCAAGUCGAGAGAACAGAUGAGGAGCUUGCUCCUCUGACGUUAGCGGCGGACGGGUGAGUAACACGUGGAUAACCUACCUAUAAGACUGGGAUAACUUCGGGAAACCGGAGCUAAUACCGGAUAAUAUAUUGAACCGCAUGGUUCAAUAGUGAAAGACGGUUUUGCUGUCACUUAUAGAUGGAUCCGCGCCGCAUUAGCUAGUUGGUAAGGUAACGGCUUACCAAGGCAACGAUGCGUAGCCGACCUGAGAGGGUGGUCGGCCACACUGGAACUGAGACACGGUCCAGACUCCUACGGGAGGCAGCAGUAGGGAAUCUUCCGCAAUGGGCGAAAGCCUGACGGAGCAACGCCGCGUGAGUGAUGAAGGUCUUCGGAUCGUAAAACUCUGUUAUUAGGGAAGAACAAAUGUGUAAGUAACUAUGCACGUCUUGACGGUACCUAAUCAGAAAGCCACGGCUAACUACGUG
rnacentral:rRNA from 1 species